CUCAUGAGACAAUCCCUCCUUAGAAGCCUCUUUUCAAUAGUGCCCUUCUUAGGAAAGUAGUAACUUGGAUUAAAAUCUAGCAUUCCUAAGGUCUUUGGGGGCCGGGGAUGCUUACUUCCUUUGCCUUCCUUUGACUGUCUACACGC
rnacentral:snoRNA from 1 species